rnacentral:misc_RNA from 1 species
GAUGAAGAACGUAGCGAAAUGCGAUACGUAAUGUGAAUUGCAGAAUUCAGUGAAUCAUCGAAUCUUUGAACGCAUAUUGCGCUCUCUGGUAUUCCGGAGAGCAUGCUUGUUUGAGUAUCAGUAAACACCUCAACUUCCAUAUCUUUUUUGAAAUGGGAGUUGGACUUGAGUGAUCCCAACGCUUUUCCUCACCGAAAAGCGGCGGGUGACUUGAAAUGCAGGUGCAGCUGGACUUUUCUCUGAGCUAUAAGCAUAUCUAUUUAGUCUGCCUAAAAAACAGAUUAUUACCUUUGCUGCAGCUAACAUAAAGGAGAUUAGUUCUUGUGCUGACUGAUGCAGGAUUCACAAAGACAGGCUUCGGCCGACUUUGUAAACUCGAUCUCAAAUCAAGUAAGACUACCCGCUGAACUUAAGCAUAUCAAUAAGCGGAGGA